UUUUCUUUAAAUCUCAAUUCAAUUUUCAAUUUUAAUAAUCCGAUAUUGCUGUCUUAGCAUUUCUGCUUACAUUUUCUACUAUUGUGUUGGUUAUUUGGUAACAAAAAUUGCAUUUGUGACGCCACAGAGUAUAUACAUAUAUACUUCCUAACGGUAAAGACUGGUAAAGGUUACUUGUAUAUUUCAUUAUAAUUUUAAUGUUUAAAUGGUGCUGUGCAUUUCAUUCAUACAUAAAAUUUACAAAUCGUGUAGUAAAAUAUCUAUAAGUAUUUCUUUACAAAUGGGAUACAUAUAAUCAUUAGCCUAAAACUAAAAGGUGCGUGUUUUAAAAUACCGGAUCAAAGAACGCGGCUAAAAAUAUCGAUAUUAACCUCACUCGCGAGAGAUACUGUGCCAUUAAUCGAUGUCAAAUCUCAUUGUAUAUAGGGUAUGUGUUAAUUGUCAAUUUAACUGGAGUUCAGUAAGUUAUUCGCCUGAGUUGCAUCAGAAAAUUGAAGCCACAUGUGUCCGUUACAUUAGAUAACAAUUGCUGGACCGACUGAUGUAAUUAUUGUACCCUGCACACUAAGCUCAGUAGCUCGUCAUCCACGGCUUCGAUCAUGCAGAGAGUAUUGGGAAGUUUGGCAUUUUCAUAAUGCCAAAUAUAGUACAGGCGCAUAGGUUGGGCAUGCAUCAUUCCACAAUCGUCGAAACGUCGGAUUUAAUCAUAUAAUAAAUCUAAUCAAAGAUAACUUGAUUGACAAAUAUAGUAAAAUAGUACAAAUUAAUGAUGACAUACCAAGUAGCGAUAGUUGAUUGCGAUGAAACUCCUGCGUAGUAAGAGGGUUAAAUUUGGUGUCACCAUCUUUGAUAGAAAUGUCUAUUGAUAAGUGGUCCAAAAAAAGAAUCAUUCAUUCAUUAAUAUUGUUAAAGACAAUAGUACAAGUUAAAUUGUUUUGCAACAGUUGAAUUGGAAUCUUUGCAACUUUGUUCGAAUAUUUGUUCAUUCCGAUAAAAUGUAAAUGUUUCAUACGAUUAGAAAUAUUGAUUUGAAAAAUGUUUAACGUAAUGAAAAUGCAAUGAAUUUUAUGCAUUUAUACUUAUACCUUUCUUCGUAACUUUCGUUAGGCUAGGUCUUCUUUGAAAAUUUAAUCAGCUUCGAUUAACGUGAGCAUGUCACGGCUCAAAGUCCCUCGACAUCCCUCAUGGUCAGGCCACCUAGGCCUGCCCAUCGUCACGGUGGCACGUAUUAGGCCCAAGGAACCCCCAUAAACCGCAUCUGUUAAACAUUAAGGUACAGUCAUAUAGACAUCGCCGGUUUAUGAAGAUUCCCAAAAAUCCGUUGGUCUGUUGCACAUCCUCGCUAAUUGCGAAGAAAGCAGAUGUGCCCUGCGAAACUGCUGGGUUUUCCUCAAGAACAAGGACACCCAUGAGCCAAAUUUGCAGGAGACUUUCUCCUCAUAUUGUAUUUAUUAACAUUGGCCAUAACCAAUGGGCAUCGCGGAUCGUUACCCUCACUAUUCUACCCAAAAGAGUAAACAGCGAAUCCGCGUCCUUAGUUCGGAAGGAAACACCCUCACCGAGUUUUCCUCAGUAAGAGCAGUAGAGCAGUCGGAGAGUCUUGAACAGUCACGCCUAGAGCUCGGAAGUGCAUUGUAAAUAUAAGAAUAAAAUAAAAGUUUCUUCUCUCAUUAAAUUCAUUAUUAUUUUACGUGACAAGCACGUGAUUAUCACGUUCAACGAUGGAGGAUGUCAGGGACAUUUCCAAAUAUAUUUAAAAUGGAAAAUGAUAUUUUAACGUGCAUAGAAUUAAUUUAUUAAGAUGGUAUAAUAUCGAAACAUUAUGUAAUUAUAGUAAAAGUAUCUGUUUCAUUCUUUACUGAUUCACACAUGAGUAUAUUUAUUACAUAUGAAAAUAAUAAAAAUAUGAAAUAUGAAUGUAAUGAAAAUUCAAUUUCCACUUCGUAAAUCUGACGAUUAAAGAAAUGCAUAUAUAAAAUUUAUAUAAAUGGAAAAAGUACGGAAAUUAAUAUAAAUAAUGUUAGAAUGUAAAUUCUCAUUAAAAUGUAAAAAUAUGCAAUGCAUAUUUAUAGGAUGUGAAAUUAAUGUUGAUUGAAUAUCAUAUAAUUCAAGAUAUAUUUCUAAGAAAAAAUACAGGAUAUAUACUAUUGCGGAAUAACGGCACACAUCAAAAUUUACAAAUAAAAGUAUUCGUAGAAAUAUGUAUAUCUAAAUGAAUAUAAAAAAUAUUAUUUAUAAUUAACAUUUUUAUAAAAAACACGAGAAAUAUCUACGAUAUACGAUAUCAUACAUAGUAGUCGCAAAAAUGAGUUCUUGCGCAAUAUACAAUUCAAUAAUUAUUGUUUGAAAUAUACAUUAUUUUUACGCUGUAAUAAAUAAAAUUCUGUACAUAUUCGAAA